rnacentral:misc_RNA from 1 species
UACGGAGGGCCCAAGCGUUGUCCGGAAUUAUUGGGUGUAAAGGGUCCGCAGGCGGGACAGUAAGUCGGAGGUGAAAGCCCUCGGCUCAACCGAGGAAUUGCCUUCGAUACUGCUGUUCUUGAGUCCCGGAGAGGCCACCGGAAUUCGUGGUGUAGCGGUGAAAUGCGUAGAUAUCACGAGGAACACCAGAAGUGAAAACGGGUGGCUGGACGGGUACUGACGCUCAGGGACGAAAGCGUGGGGAGCAAACAGG